rnacentral:rRNA from 1 species
UACAGAGGUCUCAAGCGUUGUUCGGAUUCAUUGGGCGUAAAGGGUGCGUAGGCGGCGCGGUAAGUCGGGUGUGAAAUCUCGGAGCUUAACUCCGAAACUGCAUUCGAUACUGCCGUGCUUGAGGACUGGAGAGGAGACUGGAAUUUACGGUGUAGCGGUGAAAUGCGUAGAUAUCGUAAGGAACACCGGUGGCGAAGGCGGCAUCCUGGACCAACACUGACGCUGAGUGAGCGAAAGCCAGGGGAGCAAACGGG